AUGUGUGUCCCAAAAAACCAGGGAGGUACGGGCUUUCGAGAUAUACAUUGUUUCAACUUGGCUUUGUAAGCUAAGCAAGCAUGGCGCCUUAUUGACAAACCGGAUUCUUUAUGCACCACUAUUUGGAGAACUAAGUAUUGCCCUGAUGGCAGAUUGAUGAGUGCAAGUUUAAAGAAGGGUUUGUCUUUUACUUGGCAAAACAUUAUAGUGCGAGUUAACUCGCUGAAAAAUGGUUAUAUCUGGUGAGUUGGAAAUGGUAAAAUUGAUAUUUGGAGAGAUGCAUGGGUUCCUCACGACACAAAUAGGAAAAUUAUCACCCCUAGAAGAGGGCACCCUCUGUCAAAGGUAUUUGAUCUCAUUGAUCCAAUUGUGAAUUGUUGGGACAAAGAUUUUCUGAGACAAACUUUGUGGCAAAUUGAUGCUCAAAGAGUUCUCGCUAUUCCCCUUCCUAUGCAUAACAUGGAAGACUUCAUUGCAUGGAGCUUUAUGAUAAAUGGUUUGUUCACUGUUCAAUCUCCCUAUCUGGAGGAAUGGAACGAACAACAUGGAAAUAAAUUGCAGUAUAUAUACGGUAUGUGUAGAAUCAAUGUCAAUCCUAUUUGGGAGAUUUGGAAAUUAUCUUGUCCGACAAAGGUAAAAAUCUUUAUUUGGCGUACGUUCCAUGGUACCCUCCCAUGUCAUGUUACGCUUGCCAAUAGAUGCACGAAGGUCUCGCAUAUAUGCCCCUCAUGCAUGAAUGGACCAGAAGACACGAAAUAUGUAUUGUUCCUCUGUCAGAAGGGGAAUGAGGUUUGGAACAAGCUGGGGAUGUACGAGGUGAUUAAAGAAGCCUGUGUUAUUGAUAAGGCGGGAGAAGCAAUCCUAGAAUUUUUUCUUCUUAUGCUAGAUAAUGAACUAUCUACUCUCGGAAUCCAUAAUGCACGUGAACUGAUAGCUAUAACCGAUUGGUAUCUAUGGUGGGAUAGACAUAUGCUGGUUCAUGAAGGUAAGGCUCAAAACGCGCAACAAUCCUCCAUGGGGAUUAGGGCAAUAACAACAAACUAUGUAAAAGCCCAUUCCCUAAUGCUUCUAGUAAAAAAGGAGGAUGGAGUAAACCUCAUGUGGGACUUGUUAAGAUGA
rnacentral:rRNA from 1 species